GUGACUUUACCGAAAGAACCAAGAAUAUGAAUCCCUGCAGUCACGAAAGCUUUAAAUCCAAAACCAGGUUUUUGCUUAUGGAAUGGAAGUGUAAGAUCUGCAAGUCUUUGUCUGCCACAAAAGGAAAUCUACUAAAGCAUUACAGACAACACGCAAUAUUUGGUCGUGGCCAAUCCCAGCCAUGCCUAUAUGACAGUUGCCCUUGCACAUUUAAAACGCAGAGUGCCCUUCGUUACACAUUUGUCCAGAUACCAUUCAGAUGAAGAAAGUCUACGGUCAGGAAACAUCUCUGUUUUUAAGUGUUUAGUUUGCAAUGCUUUUUGUUCUAUAGAGAAGGACUACUUUCAGCAUAUUGGAAAUCAUCUGAAGAGCCACGAAACUGUCUUUUGUGUAUUUGAAGGAUGCAGCUUUCAGACAAAUAUAUACAAUACAUUUCUAAAACACAAAAGCAAAAGACACAAAUCCUAUUCUUUGAGUGAUUUUAAGAAAGAUGUGUAUGAGAGUCGCCAUAAUCAGACUGUUGACCAUUCUGAUUUACCAGAGGCCAAUGAUGGUGAGGGCACUAGUUUAGAUUGUGAUCAGGAAAGUGCAUCAUACAUAGUUCUUCAAAUUGGCUUACUUCUGCUGAAGCUAGAAACCAUCUAUAAUGCCUCAGUGAAGUGCAUUGAUGCCUUGGUUGAAGACCUUCAGUUCAUUUCAUCUUCAGUAUCAGUUGCAGUUGUUAGGAACAUACUAGAUUCAACAUUGAAGGUGAAUAAAUGUAUUGUUGACCAGGCCAUCGUAACUGAAUUGUCAGCAGUUGUGCAACUUCCAUCCCAUUAGUACAGCACUUGGAGCAGGUGGUCCACUUGGUUCGGCUUUUAAGAGAAGAAAGUAUUUUAAGGUGCAUUUCCAGUGUGUUGAUAGCGUUGAAUAUAUUAUUGAUACUGAAAAGAACAAGACCUUUCAAUAUGUGCCUAUUCUCCAGACUUUGCAGGAAGUCUUGAAGAAUGAAGACAUUGCAGAAAUAAUUUUAUCCAGAAAAUCAAAUAGUACUGGAUAUAUUAAGUCAAUUUUUGAUGGAAAAUCCUUCAAGCAAAAUGUAUUUUAUGCUGGGGAAGAAACAAGACUGUCUAUAAUCCUUUACGUUGACGACUUUGAAGUGUGUAACCCACUAGGAACUUCGAGAAAAAAAACACAAAAUAACAGCUGUUUAUUGGGUUUUGGCAAAUGUUCCAACAAAGUUGCAAUCUGCAUUAACGUCAAUACACCUAGCUUUACUUUGCAAAGCUGUUGAUGUCAAACAGUUUGAAUACAGAGCAGUUUUGGAACCACUCUUGAAGGAUCUUGUCAUUCUAGAACAGGAAGGGAUUUUCAUUUCCAGUGUUGGAAAAAAACAUUAAAGGGACAGUACAUUGUGUUGUAGCUGACAAUCUCGAUGCACAUUCUAUCAGUGGACUAGUUGAAUGUUUCACGGGGCCGUACAUCUGUAGAUUUUGUCUUGGACAUUCUUCAGAGUACCAGACACACGAAGUGCGGACCGGAGUGUUUCCACCUCGGACAAAGAAGGAACAUAGUUUGCAUGUGCAAACUGAGAGAAAAUCCAAAUGUUACUCAUUGCUUUGGCUUAAAGCGGUCGUGUCCAUUGACUGAUAAAUUAAAUCACUUUCAUUUUGAGUCUGGGUACCCACCAGAUGUACUACAUGACCUUUUGGAAGGCAUAGUCCCAAGGGAACUAGCAUUGUGUUUUCAGAUUUUCACCAAGAAGAAGUACUUCAGUUUGACUGAGCUUAACGAGUUAAUAACUGAGUCUGACUGUCAAAGUUCUGCGUUAUAGGCCUAUACAUCUGAUAGGCUAUCAGAGAAUGCACUGAUUUGUUAUUAAAAGCUAUCUUUAUUUUUGUUUAAUGUUUCUUGGGUGUUCUAACAUUGUGCUUUCUUCUGAUGUGACGCUGACCUAGGCCAUUGCAAGUGUUUGUUCUAAAGGAAUAGAUGUAAGAUGCAUAGAACAUCUGUAGGCUGUGCUAGUUUACUUGUUAGAAAGCCAUGCUUGUACUGUAAUUAUGCAUGUUAAAAAAGAUAGGUCCACCCGGAUUGUGGAUUAUGGCUACUAGUAUAAGUACAGGGAAUGCAAGUCAAUACCACGUGAUGUUUUAAUCUCUUUUAGCUGUUUGAAAAACAUAUUGGCGCUUAGGAUUUCAAUUUACGCAUAUAAAAAAGAAAUAAUAUGAAAGUUUUUUUACAGAUUUUUUUUAAAACAUUGUCGUAAUUUAAAUGUGCUAAAAAGACUAAACCUUGAAUCACAUCCAAAAAAGUAAUCUGUGCCUGUAAUGCCCACAAAUUAUAAAUACCUCCAGCAUUGUAUCCCUAUUGUACACAUACAUGAUUUCUGUCUUUGUUUUGUACUUGUAAUAUGUUGGAUAAACAUGUUGAGACAAAAUUGCACGAAUAAAUGUUAACCUGCUGUUCCUUU